rnacentral:rRNA from 1 species
AUGUAUCCUCUAGCCUGGGCUAUAGUUGAGAAUGAAACAAAUAUAGCCUGGAAGUGCUUUGUUGGGCUGCUCUUGAAGGACUUGGAAAUAGACAACAAUGGAGCUUGUUGGGUUAUUAUUUCUGAUCAACAGAAGGGUUUGAUAAAUGCAGCCAAGGAUUACCUUCCUGAUGCAGAGCAUAGGAUGUGUGCUAGGCACAUUUAUGCUAAUUGGAGGAAAAAACAUAGAGAUCAUGAGUGGCAAAAGAAAUUUUGA